rnacentral:lncRNA from 1 species
CAGAGCCUGUCUAGUAUUAACUCCGCCCAUCUUCGCCGAAAUCAGGAUAUUUGGAGAGAGAAGGAAAGUAACACGAUGGUGCUACAUUGUAUGAAUUUUAGGAACAUAACUUGUAUCUUAUUCUGAGCAACACUGAUGAAAGCGACGUAUAUAUUUUUCCUUAAAGAACUCCGAAAGGAUGGCGUCACAGGAAGGGGGGGAGCCGCCUCCUAACGGCAGCCAAUCAGACAGCCGGUUGAAGAGCAAGAAGCCGCCCAGUCUGAUCAUAGCCAUCCCUGCACCAGAGGAAGAAGAGAGGGUUGAAGAGGGAGAUGAAACGGUCAAGCAGUAUCACUCGUAUGACCCACUGACCCAGGCAAUCUCAACCACACUGCUGCAAUCUCAACCACACUGCACACUGCCCUAACCCAUCUGGACAAGAGGAACACCUAUGUGAGAAUGCUGUUCAUCGACUACAGCUCGGCAUUCACCACACCACAGGGCGGGGUCGAGACCCUGGGUCUCGACCCCGCCCUGUGCAACUGGGUACUGGACUUCCUGAUGGGCCGCCCCCAGGUGGUGGGGUAGGCCAACAACAUCUCCU